AGAGUUUGAUCCUGGCUCAGGAUGAACGCUGGCGGCGUGCCUAAUACAUGCAAGUCGAGCGAACGGACGAGAAGCUUGCUUCUCUGAUGUUAGCGGCGGACGGGUGAGUAACACGUGGAUAACCUACCUAUAAGACUGGGAUAACUUCGGGAAACCGGAGCUAAUACCGGAUAAUAUUUUGAACCGCAUGGUUCAAAAGUGAAAGACGGUCUUGCUGUCACUUAUAGAUGGAUCCGCGCUGCAUUAGCUAGUUGGUAAGGUAACGGCUUACCAAGGCAACGAUGCAUAGCCGACCUGAGAGGGUGAUCGGCCACACUGGAACUGAGACACGGUCCAGACUCCUACGGGAGGCAGCAGUAGGGAAUCUUCCGCAAUGGGCGAAAGCCUGACGGAGCAACGCCGCGUGAGUGAUGAAGGUCUUCGGAUCGUAAAACUCUGUUAUUAGGGAAGAACAUAUGUGUAAGUAACUGUGCACAUCUUGACGGUACCUAAUCAGAAAGCCACGGCUAACUACGUGCCAGCAGCCGCGGUAAUACGUAGGUGGCAAGCGUUAUCCGGAAUUAUUGGGCGUAAAGCGCGCGUAGGCGGUUUUUUAAGUCUGAUGUGAAAGCCCACGGCUCAACCGUGGAGGGUCAUUGGAAACUGGAAAACUUGAGUGCAGAAGAGGAAAGUGGAAUUCCAUGUGUAGCGGUGAAAUGCGCAGAGAUAUGGAGGAACACCAGUGGCGAAGGCGACUUUCUGGUCUGUAACUGACGCUGAUGUGCGAAAGCGUGGGGAUCAAACAGGAUUAGAUACCCUGGUAGUCCACGCCGUAAACGAUGAGUGCUAAGUGUUAGGGGGUUUCCGCCCCUUAGUGCUGCAGCUAACGCAUUAAGCACUCCGCCUGGGGAGUACGACCGCAAGGUUGAAACUCAAAGGAAUUGACGGGGACCCGCACAAGCGGUGGAGCAUGUGGUUUAAUUCGAAGCAACGCGAAGAACCUUACCAAAUCUUGACAUCCUUUGACAAAUCUAGAGAUAGAGCCUUCCCCUUCGGGGGACAAAGUGACAGGUGGUGCAUGGUUGUCGUCAGCUCGUGUCGUGAGAUGUUGGGUUAAGUCCCGCAACGAGCGCAACCCUUAAGCUUAGUUGCCAUCAUUAAGUUGGGCACUCUAAGUUGACUGCCGGUGACAAACCGGAGGAAGGUGGGGAUGACGUCAAAUCAUCAUGCCCCUUAUGAUUUGGGCUACACACGUGCUACAAUGGACAAUACAAAGGGCAGCGAAACCGCGAGGUCAAGCAAAUCCCAUAAAGUUGUUCUCAGUUCGGAUUGUAGUCUGCAACUCGACUACAUGAAGCUGGAAUCGCUAGUAAUCGUAGAUCAGCAUGCUACGGUGAAUACGUUCCCGGGUCUUGUACACACCGCCCGUCACACCACGAGAGUUUGUAACACCCGAAGCCGGUGGAGUAACCUUUUAGGAGCUAGCCGUCGAAGGUGGGACAAAUGAUUGGGGUGAAGUCGUAACAAGGUAGCCGUAUCGGAAGGUGCGGCUGGAUCACCU
rnacentral:rRNA from 2 species